rnacentral:misc_RNA from 1 species
AUUCCGUAGGUGAACCUGCGGAAGGAUCAUUAUUGAAUAAACAGUGUGGGUUGUUGCUGGCCUUCUGGCAUGUGCACGCCUGCCAUAUGUUUCAUUCCCUUCUUUCCACCCGUGCACUAUGUGUAGGCUAUGUAUGCUGUAUUGUCAGGCCCUUCAUAAGGCUUGGUUUAGAGAGGAUGCUUGUCUUUAUGAGACAGGCUCAUCUUGGGCGUACAGGUCUAUGUUUUACACCAACACCAAAUGAAUGUCUUAGAAUGUAUUUUUUCAGGCUCUUGCUAGCCUUUAAACCAUAUACAACUUUCAACAACGGAUCUCUUGGCUCUC